ACUUUGCUGGAGAUCACUCCAUACCUGUGGCUUUCUGAAGCUUGUGUGGAAACUGCUGUGUUUCCUGUAAAACAUUAAUUCCUUGUCCUGAACUGCGGAAAUAUCCCCCAAUUUUUGUCAGUACAAAGCUAUGCCUAAAGAUUAAACCUGCGCGUACCUUGCACGUCAAGGAAAACAUCACUUGACAUCAGCACCAGCAAUGUGACCUCCAAGAAAUCCCACAAGCAGAGUAGGAAUAGCAACAUCUUGCAUCAGGCCUUUGGAAGGGACUGGAGGAUACACGUGUAGGAUGCAUAGCAGUGACGUGCUGCUGACCUCGUAGCCCUGGGGUGUUGAAGCUGGUGGCCAGGAUUGGCAGGGCCUUUCCCAUGUGGAGGGCUAAUUCUGUACCCUCAGGACCGGAUGAGGUAUCUCGUCAGCAGCACCCGGCUAGGGAAGGGAAGAGCAUUGUGUGGGCUGUUGCUUUUUUUUUAAGAACCACUUAUGACCCUGGGAGGAGCACGUGAGCAAAAGGCAUUGCUGCAAGGACGGGUGGAAACUGGGGAAAACUCCCAGCUCCCGAAUCUCAUAGGGAAAUCCCUAGAAAGCUCCCUGGCGCCCCCUUUCUCAACAUACAAACUCCUAUGCAGUGGGAAUCAGUUGGGACCAUAAGCACUGGUGAGCUCCAUGCCACCCUUGCUCCUUGAGGUGAAGAACAGCCCCAUGACCUCGCAGUGGUUGCUGCCCGCGCCGUCAGCCAGCACAGGAAGCAUAUCCCCCAAAUCCCCAGUCUCUCCCCUUCUUCUGGGUACUCAGCAGCCCAGGAAGGGCUGGUGACAAAUUCUCAUGGAGGCUGAGAUGCUUCAGCUGUGAGCUCAGUGAGUGACUAACUUGUUCAUCUCCUCUGGGAGCUGCACUGAGCUGUUGGGAAGCAGCAGAGCCCAGCCAGCCUCCUCUGCCUGUUCCAGGCGCCUUCCCCAUUGCUCUCCUGAAGGAGGGAAAAAAAAAAAACCCACAACAAAAGCUUGGAAAACUGAGCUGUGGUGAUAUGCAAUCACUCAGGGAUGGCACAGGAAGAAAGCAGGCUCGGAAUGCCUUAAUUUUGGAGAGGCACGGGUGAAAGUCCAUGCGAGUGCAGAUAUGGUGCCAGGGGUCGGCGCUGCUGAGACUACAUCCCAUGUUAUGAUAGGGUUGGGUGGGGGGGG
rnacentral:lncRNA from 1 species